UGCCCCGAGCAGCGACGACGUCUCGAGCAAGCCCCUUCAGUUGUUGGCUCAAGCGCUCCACGCCUUGGCCGACGUCGGUUUCCUGUGCUGAAUUCCUAGCGGAUGGCAAUCUUUCGUCCACCAACGUCCCGUACUCCUCCCAACGUCGCGGCUCCUCAAGGGGACGCGGCGCGGGGAGGACACCGUAGCCCCCUUCGUGUCUCGCAGCCCACGCAGCACGCCCCGCGCGGGCGAGUGCCGGGGCCGUCGAACCACGAAGUCGUGCUCGAUCUCUCGGAUGCGGAAAACCAAGCGGCUACGAGGCCACGGCCUCUACUGCCCCUUCGAAGAGCGUCACACGCUCCCUGCGGACGACUGCCGGCCCGGUCUUGCCCGGGAGCCCCAGCGGCUCCCGGGUCAUGCCCGGCCGGCGUCGACGAGGAAUGCUACCUGGUUGAUCCUGCCAGUAGUCAU
rnacentral:misc_RNA from 1 species